rnacentral:rRNA from 1 species
ACCCGCUGGAAACGGCGGAUAAAACCGCAUACGCCCGGGUGAAAGCCCGGGGAAAAGCACUACGGUGUUACUGGACGAGGGACCUGCGGCCCAUCAGGUAGUUGGGGAGGUAACGGCUCACCAAGCCGACGACGGGUAUCUGGCGUGAGAGCGCGAACAGGCACAAGGACACUGAGAGACGGGUCCUACUCCUACGGGAGGCAGCAGUGGGGAAUAUUGGACAAUGGGCGAAAGCCUGAUCCAGCGACGCCGCGUGUCGGAAGGAGUCCUUCGGGAUGUAAACGACUUUUGGUGGAGACGAAUAAGCAGCUCAGGGAAUGGGGCUGUGAUGACGGUAUCCAUGGAAUAAGCCCCGGCUAACUACGUGCCAGCAGCCGCGGUAAGACGUAGGGGGCAAGCGUUACCCGGAAUUACUGGGCGUAAAGGGAGCGUAGGCGGGAGGUCAAGUCCGGUGUGAAAGACCCUGGCUCAACCAGGGAUGAGGGCUGGAAACUGACAAUCUUGAGUACAGCAGAGGAAGAGGGAAUUACCGGUGUAGGGGUGAAAUCCGUAGAGACCGGUAAGAAGGCCAGUGGCGAAGGCGCUUUUCUGGGCUGUUACUGACGCUGAGGCUCGAAAGCCAGGGGAGCAAACCGGAUUAGAUACCCGGGUAGUCCUGGCCGUAAACGAUG